CUACGGGACGCUGCAGUGGGGAAUAUUGGACAAUGGGGGAAACCCUGAUCCAGCAAUGCCGCGUGUGUGAAGAAGGCCUGCGGGUUGUAAAGCACUUUCGGUUGGGAGGACUGCUUCUAGCACUAAUAUUGUUGGAAGUUGACGUUACCUUCAGAAGAAGCACCGGCUAACUCCGUGCCAGCAGCCGCGGUAAUACGGAGGGUGCAAGCGUAAGUCGGAAUUACUGGGCGUAAAGCGCGCGUAGGCGGCUAGAUCAGUCGGGUGUGAAAGCCCCGGGCUUAACCUGGGAACUGCAUCCGAUACUGUCUAGCUUGAGUACAGGAGAGGAGAGUGGAAUUCCACAUGUAGCGGUGAAAUGCGUAGAUAUGUGGAGGAACACCAAUGGCGAAGGCAGCUCUCUGGCCUGAUACUGACGCUGAGGUGCGAAAGCGUGGGGAGCAAACAGGAUUAGAUACCCGGGUAGUC
rnacentral:rRNA from 1 species